UGUAGCCAAAAAUGACAGCUGGACUGGUUGUUGGAUUAGUAAUCACGCGAACAUCACCGCCGCCUGGUGCCCAUGUGUCAUAAACGCCACCCAAGUAACGAGCUUUGAGAACCAACAGCAAAGCACCAAGUCCAAGAAGCACAAGGUGAAUUCCUAAAAUGGUAGUCAUUUUGUUCUUAUCUUUCCA
rnacentral:antisense_RNA from 1 species